rnacentral:rRNA from 1 species
AUUGAACGCUGGCGGCAGGCCUAACACAUGCAAGUCGGACGGUAACAGGAAGCAGCUUGCUGCUUUGCUGACGAGUGGCGGACGGGUGAGUAAUGUCUGGGAAACUGCCUGAUGGAGGGGGAUAACUACUGGAAACGGUAGCUAAUACCGCAUAACGUCGCAAGACCAAAGAGGGGGACCUUCGGGCCUCUUGCCAUCGGAUGUGCCCAGAUGGGAUUAGCUAGUAGGUGGGGUAACGGCUCACCUAGGCGACGAUCCCUAGCUGGUCUGAGAGGAUGACCAGCCACACUGGAACUGAGACACGGUCCAGACUCCUACGGGAGGCAGCAGUGGGGAAUAUUGCACAAUGGGCGCAAGCCUGAUGCAGCCAUGCCGCGUGUAUGAAGAAGGCCUUCGGGUUGUAAAGUACUUUCAGCGGGGAGGAAGGGAGUAAAGUUAAUACCUUUGCUCAUUGACGUUACCCGCAGAAGAAGCACCGGCUAACUCCGUG